UACGAAGGGGGGCUAGCGUUGUUCGGAUUUACUGGGCGUAAAGCGCACGUAGGCGGAUUGGUCAGUUAGAGGUGAAAUCCCGAAGCUCAACUUCGGAACUGCCUUUAAUACUGCCAGUCUAGAGUCCGGAAGAGGUAAGUGGAACUCCUAGUGUAGAGGUGGAAUUCGUAGAUAUUAGGAAGAACACCAGUGGCGAAGGCGGCUUACUGGUCUGGUACUGACGCUGAGGUGCGAAAGCGUGGGGAGCAAACAGG
rnacentral:rRNA from 1 species